rnacentral:rRNA from 1 species
AGUGAACGCUGGCGGUAGGCCUAACACAUGCAAGUCGAACGGCAGCACAGUAAGAGCUUGCUCUUACGGGUGGCGAGUGGCGGACGGGUGAGGAAUACAUCGGAAUCUACUUUUUCGUGGGGGAUAACGUAGGGAAACUUACGCUAAUACCGCAUACGACCUACGGGUGAAAGCAGGGGAUCUUCGGACCUUGCGCGAUUGAAUGAGCCGAUGUCGGAUUAGCUAGUUAGCGGGGUAAAGGCCCACCAAGGCGACGAUCCGUAGCUGGUCUGAGAGGAUGAUCAGCCACACUGGAACUGAGACACGGUCCAGACUCCUACGGGAGGCAGCAGUGGGGAAUAUUGGACAAUGGGCGCAAGCCUGAUCCAGCCAUACCGCGUGGGCGAAGAAGGCCUUCGGGUUGUAAAGCCCUUUUGUUGGGAAAGAAAAGCAGCAGGUUAAUACCCCGCUGUUCUGACGGUACCCAAAGAAUAAGCACCGGCUAACUUCGUG